ACAUGUCCUUAAGUUUUAAUUUUUAGGUUUGACCUGCCCAAUGAAUAAUAUUUGAAUGGCUGCAGUAUUUUAACUGUACUAAGGUAGCAUAAUCAUUUGUCUUUUAAUUGUUGGCUGGAAUGAAUGGUUGGACAAAAUAUAAACUUUCUUUUUUUUAAUUAAUUAAUUUAAUUUUUAAGUUAAAAAGCUUAAAUUUUUUUAAGGGACGAUAAGACCCCGUAGAUUUUUAUAUCUAUUUUUAUUGAAUUAUUUGGUUAUAAUUUUAUAAUUUGUUUUAUUUAAUUAGGUAUUAAGUUGGGGUGACUAUUGAAUUUUUUUAACUUCAAUUUUAUAUAUUUCAUUUAUUUAGUUGUUUUUUUUGAUCCAAUUUUUUUGAUUAGAAGAUUAAAUUACCUCGGGGAUAACAGCGUAAUUUCUUUGGAAAGUUCAUAUUGAUAAAGAAGUUUGCGACCUCGAUGUUGGAUUAAAAUUUAUUUUUUGGUGCAGUAAUUAAUUAAUUUAGGUCUGUUCGACCUAUAAAAUUUUACAUGA
rnacentral:rRNA from 1 species